AGCGAACGCUGGCGGCAGGCCUAAUACAUGCAAGUCGAGCGCACCUUCGGGUGAGCGGCGGACGGGUGAGUAACGCGUGGGAAUGUGCCCUUUGGUACGGAACAACUGAGGGAAACUUCAGCUAAUACCGUAUGUGCCCUUCGGGGAAAGAUUUAUCGCCAUUGGAGCAGCCCGCGUUGGAUUAGGUAGUUGGUGAGGUAAAGGCUCACCAAGCCUACGAUCCAUAGCUGGCUGAGAGGAUGAUCAGCCACACUGGGACUGAGACACGGCCCAGACUCCUACGGGAGGCAGCAGUAGGGAAUCUUGCGCAAUGGGCGAAAGCCUGACGCAGCCAUGCCGCGUGAAUGAUGAAGGUCUUAGGAUUGUAAAAUUCUUCACGGGGAAGAUAAUGACGGUACCCGGAGAAGAAGCCCCGGCUAACUUCGUGCCAGCAGCCGCGGUAAC
rnacentral:rRNA from 1 species